UACAGAGGGUGCGAGCGUUAAUCGGAAUUACUGGGCGUAAAGCGUGCGUAGACGGCUAUCUAAGUCGGGUGUGAAAGCCCCGGGCUCAACCUGGGAAUUGCAUUCGAGACUGAAUAGCUAGGGUACGGUAGAGGGAAGCGGAAUUUCCGGUGUAGCGGUGAAAUGCGUAGAUAUCGGAAGGAACAUCAGUGGCGAAAGCGGCCAUCUGGGACAACACUGACGCUGAGGCACGAAAGCGUGGGGAGCAAACAGG
rnacentral:rRNA from 1 species